rnacentral:rRNA from 1 species
GGGUUGUGAGGUUAAGCGACUAAGCGUACACGGUGGAUGCCCUGGCAGUCAGAGGCGAUGAAGGACGUGCUAAUCUGCGAUAAGCGUCGGUAAGGUGAUAUGAACCGUUAUAACCGGCGAUUUCCGAAUGGGGAAACCCAGUGUGUUUCGACACACUAUCAUUAACUGAAUCCAUAGGUUAAUGAGGCGAACCGGGGGAACUGAAACAUCUAAGUACCCCGAGGAAAAGAAAUCAACCGAGAUUCCCCCAGUAGCGGCGAGCGAACGGGGAGCAGCCCAGAGCCUGAAUCAGUGUGUGUGUUAGUGGAAGCGUCUGGAAAGGCGCGCGAUACAGGGUGACAGCCCCGUACACAAAAAUGCACAUGCUGUGAGCUCGAUGAGUAGGGCGGGACACGUGGUAUCCUGUCUGAAUAUGGGGGGACCAUCCUCCAAGGCUAAAUACUCCUGACUGACCGAUAGUGAACCAGUACCGUGAGGGAAAGGCGAAAAGAACCCCGGCGAGGGGAGUGAAAAAGAACCUGAAACCGUGUACGUACAAGCAGUGGGAGCCUCUUUAUGGGGUGACUGCGUACCUUUUGUAUAAUGGGUCAGCGACUUAUAUUCUGUAGCAAGGUUAACCGAAUAGGGGAGCCGAAGGGAAACCGAGUCUUAACUGGGCGUUAAGUUGCAGGGUAUAGACCCGAAACCCGGUGAUCUAGCCAUGGGCAGGUUGAAGGUUGGGUAACACUAACUGGAGGACCGAACCGACUAAUGUUGAAAAAUUAGCGGAUGACUUGUGGCUGGGGGUGAAAGGCCAAUCAAACCGGGAGAUAGCUGGUUCUCCCCGAAAGCUAUUUAGGUAGCGCCUCGUGAACUCAUCUCCGGGGGUAGAGCACUGUUUCGGCAAGGGGGUCAUCCCGACUUACCAACCCGAUGCAAACUGCGAAUACCGGAGAAUGUUAUCACGGGAGACACACGGCGGGUGCUAACGUCCGUCGUGAAGAGGGAAACAACCCAGACCGCCAGCUAAGGUCCCAAAGUCAUGGUUAAGUGGGAAACGAUGUGGGAAGGCCCAGACAGCCAGGAUGUUGGCUUAGAAGCAGCCAUCAUUUAAAGAAAGCGUAAUAGCUCACUGGUCGAGUCGGCCUGCGCGGAAGAUGUAACGGGGCUAAACCAUGCACCGAAGCUGCGGCAGCGACGCUUAUGCGUUGUUGGGUAGGGGAGCGUUCUGUAAGCCUGUGAAGGUGUACUGUGAGGUAUGCUGGAGGUAUCAGAAGUGCGAAUGCUGACAUAAGUAACGAUAAAGCGGGUGAAAAGCCCGCUCGCCGGAAGACCAAGGGUUCCUGUCCAACGUUAAUCGGGGCAGGGUGAGUCGACCCCUAAGGCGAGGCCGAAAGGCGUAGUCGAUGGGAAACAGGUUAAUAUUCCUGUACUUGGUGUUACUGCGAAGGGGGGACGGAGAAGGCUAUGUUGGCCGGGCGACGGUUGUCCCGGUUUAAGCGUGUAGGCUGGUUUUCCAGGCAAAUCCGGAAAAUCAAGGCUGAGGCGUGAUGACGAGGCACUACGGUGCUGAAGCAACAAAUGCCCUGCUUCCAGGAAAAGCCUCUAAGCAUCAGGUAACAUCAAAUCGUACCCCAAACCGACACAGGUGGUCAGGUAGAGAAUACCAAGGCGCUUGAGAGAACUCGGGUGAAGGAACUAGGCAAAAUGGUGCCGUAACUUCGGGAGAAGGCACGCUGAUAUGUAGGUGAAGCGACUUGCUCGUGGAGCUGAAAUCAGUCGAAGAUACCAGCUGGCUGCAACUGUUUAUUAAAAACACAGCACUGUGCAAACACGAAAGUGGACGUAUACGGUGUGACGCCUGCCCGGUGCCGGAAGGUUAAUUGAUGGGGUUAGCGCAAGCGAAGCUCUUGAUCGAAGCCCCGGUAAACGGCGGCCGUAACUAUAACGGUCCUAAGGUAGCGAAAUUCCUUGUCGGGUAAGUUCCGACCUGCACGAAUGGCGUAAUGAUGGCCAGGCUGUCUCCACCCGAGACUCAGUGAAAUUGAACUCGCUGUGAAGAUGCAGUGUACCCGCGGCAAGACGGAAAGACCCCGUGAACCUUUACUAUAGCUUGACACUGAACAUUGAGCCUUGAUGUGUAGGAUAGGUGGGAGGCUUUGAAGUGUGGACGCCAGUCUGCAUGGAGCCGACCUUGAAAUACCACCCUUUAAUGUUUGAUGUUCUAACGUUGACCCGUAAUCCGGGUUGCGGACAGUGUCUGGUGGGUAGUUUGACUGGGGCGGUCUCCUCCUAAAGAGUAACGGAGGAGCACGAAGGUUGGCUAAUCCUGGUCGGACAUCAGGAGGUUAGUGCAAUGGCAUAAGCCAGCUUGACUGCGAGCGUGACGGCGCGAGCAGGUGCGAAAGCAGGUCAUAGUGAUCCGGUGGUUCUGAAUGGAAGGGCCAUCGCUCAACGGAUAAAAGGUACUCCGGGGAUAACAGGCUGAUACCGCCCAAGAGUUCAUAUCGACGGCGGUGUUUGGCACCUCGAUGUCGGCUCAUCACAUCCUGGGGCUGAAGUAGGUCCCAAGGGUAUGGCUGUUCGCCAUUUAAAGUGGUACGCGAGCUGGGUUUAGAACGUCGUGAGACAGUUCGGUCCCUAUCUGCCGUGGGCGCUGGAGAACUGAGGGGGGCUGCUCCUAGUACGAGAGGACCGGAGUGGACGCAUCACUGGUGUUCGGGUUGUCAUGCCAAUGGCACUGCCCGGUAGCUAAAUGCGGAAGAGAUAAGUGCUGAAAGCAUCUAAGCACGAAACUUGCCCCGAGAUGAGUUCUCCCUGACUCCUUGAGAGUCCUGAAGGAACGUUGAAGACGACGACGUUGAUAGGCCGGGUGUGUAAGCGCAGCGAUGCGUUGAGCUAACCGGUACUAAUGAACCGUGAGGCUUAACCUUACAACGCCGAAGCUGUU